UUCCGGUUGAUCCUGCCGGACCCGACUGCUAUCAGAGUGGGACUAAGCCAUGCGAGUCAACGCCGCAAGGCGUGGCAUACGGCUCAGUAACACGUAGUCAACAUGCCCAAGGGACGUGGAUAACCUCGGGAAACUGAGGAUAAACCGCGAUAGGCCAAGAUUUCUGGAAUGGAUCAUGGCCGAAAUCUAUAUGGCCCUUGGAUUGGACUGCGGCCGAUCAGGCUGUUGGUGAGGUAAUGGCCCACCAAACCUAUAACCGGUACGGGCUUUGAGAGAAGGAGCCCGGAGAUGGGCACUGAGACAAGGGCCCAGGCCCUAUGGGGCGCAGCAGGCGCGAAAACUCUGCAAUAGGCGAAAGCUUGACAGGGUUACUCUGAGUGAUGCCCGCUAAGGGCAUCUUUUGGUACCUCUAAAAAUGGUGCAGAAUAAGGGGUGGGCAAGUCUGGUGUCAGCCGCCGCGGUAAUACCAGCACCCCGAGUGGUCGGGACGAUUAUUGGGCCUAAAGCAUCCGUAGCUUGUCCUGCAAGUCCUCCGUUAAAUCCACCUGCUCAACAGAUGGGCUGCGGAGGAUACUACAGGGCUAGGAGGCGGGAGAGGCAAGCGGUACUCAGUGGGUAGGGGUAAAAUCCUCUGAUCCACUGAAGACCACCAGUGGCGAAGGCGGCUUGCCAGAACGCGCUCGACGGUGAGGGAUGAAAGCUGGGGGAGCAAACCGGAUUAGAUACCCGGGUAGUCCCAGCUGUAAACGAUGCAGACUCGGUGAUGGGUUGGCUUCGCGCCAACCCAGUGCCGCAGGGAAGCCGUUAAGUCUGCCGCCUGGGGAGUACGGUCGCAAGACUGAAACUUAAAGGAAUUGGCGGGGGAGCACCACAAGGGGUGAAGCCUGCGGUUCAAUUGGAUUCAACGCCGGG
rnacentral:rRNA from 1 species